rnacentral:rRNA from 1 species
CAGUAGCCGCGGUAAUACGUAGGGUGCGAGCGUUAAUCGGAAUUACUGGGCGUAAAGCGUGCGCAGGCGGUUCGUUGAGACAGAUGUGAAAUCCCCGGGCUCAACCUAGGAAUUGCAUUUGAUACUGUUUGGCUUGAGUACGGGAGAGGUGAGUGGAAUUCCCAGUGUAGAGGUGAAAUUCGUAGAUAUUGGGAAGAACACCAGUGGCGAAGGCGGCUCACUGGACCGACACUGACGCUGAGGCGCGAAAGCGUGGGGAGCAAACAGGAUUAGAUACCCGCGUAGUCCCUGUCUCUUAUAC